rnacentral:rRNA from 1 species
CAGCAGCCGCGGUAAUACGGAGGGGGCUAGCGUUGUUCGGAAUUACUGGGCGUAAAGCGUACGUAGGCGGCUUUGUAAGUUAGAGGUGAAAGCCUGGUGCUCAACACCAGAACUGCCUUUAAGACUGCAUCGCUUGAACGUCGGAGAGGUGAGUGGAAUUCCGAGUGUAGAGGUGAAAUUCGUAGAUAUUCGGAAGAACACCAGUGGCGAAGGCGGCUCACUGGACGACUGUUGACGCUGAGGUACGAAAGCGUGGGGAGCAAACAGGAUUAGAUACCCCCGUAGUCCCUGUCUCUUAUAC